rnacentral:ncRNA from 1 species
CCACUAGGGGAGCCUUCGGGCUGAGACGGCAUAAGCCGGACCCUUCGAACCUGAUCUGGCUCAUACCAGCGUAGGGAAGUGGUGU